CCAAUAGCGUAUAUUAAAGUUGUUGCAGUUAAAAAGCUCGUAGUUGAAUUUCGGGAUCAAUAUGUUGGUCGUGCCUUGGUACGUACUAAUUUAUUGGUUUCUUCCUUCUGACGAACCAUGAUGUCAUUAAUUUGGUGUCUUGGGGAAUCAGGACUGUUACUUUGAAAAAAUUAGAGUGUUUAAAGCAGGCUCACGCUUGAAUACAUUAGCAUGGAAUAAUGAAAUAGGAUGUUUGAUUCUAUUUUGUUGGUUUCUAGGAUCGACGUAAUGAUUAAUAGGGAUAGUUGGGGGCAUUAGUAUUCAAUUGUCAGAGGUGAAAUUCUUGGAUUUAUUGAAGACUAACUACUGCGAAAGCAUUUGCCAAGGAUGUUUUCAUUAAUCAAGAACGAAAGUUAGGGGAUCGAAGACGAUCAGAUACCGUCGUAGUCUUAACCAUAAACUAUGCCGACUAGGGAUCGGAUGAUGUUAAUUUUUUAAUGACUCAUUCGGCGCCUUACG
rnacentral:ncRNA from 2 species